rnacentral:misc_RNA from 1 species
UGGUUCUGGCAUNGAUGAAGAACGCAGCGAAAUGCGAUACGUAGUGUGAAUUGCAGAAUUCAGUGAAUCAUCGAAUCUUUGAACGCACAUUGCGCCCUUUGGUAUUCCAAAGGGCAUGCCUGUUCGAGCGUCAUUUGUACCCUCAAGCUUUGCUUGGUGUUGGGCGUUUUGUCUUUGGUUGCCAAAGACUCGCCUUAAAACGAUUGGCAGCCGGCCUACUGGUUUCGCAGCGCAGCACAUUUUUGCGCUUGCAAUCAGCAAAAGAGGACGGCACUCCAUCAAGACUCUUUAUCACUUUUGACCUCGGAUCAGGUAGGGAUACCCGCUGA